UGCACAUCAAAAAAAAGCUGUGAAAAAAUAACUCAUUUUUUCUCAUGUGGUUCUUGAUUAAUGUCCGUAAUUAUUCAUUAGCCUACUGUUGCAAUAGUGACUACUUCAAGGGCUCUUGACUGAAAAAUCCAGCAGAUGGUGAGGAGAUGCCCACCUGCUCAGCAGAAUCCAUUAGGAACAUAAUGUGUUGCUUCUUGGGGAACUGGGAAUCCACAAGAAGCUGGGAGAAAUCAGAGCCAGGACAUCUGACCCAAACUGGCCAAAGGGAUGUUCCAUGCCAUAUGGCGUCAUGCUCAGCAAUAAAAACUGGGGUGAAGAAGGAAGAGAGAGACACAGUCGAAGAGACAGUAUUUGUCUUCCCAUGUAACCAUCCAUUGUGAUAAACCCUGCUUUCCUGAAAUGUCUGCUUUCCUGGAGCCCUACUUUCCUGGCUGAGCAUCUACUUGCCUUCUAAGUUCUCUCUGUGUUCUGUUUUAGGAAUAUAUGGCAUUUUAAAUUUGCAUUCCAGCCCGUACUUUCCUCAUCUGACAAGCUAACAUGUGGACAGCUCCAAAACUCUGCAUUUCCUUUACUCAUGACAUGCUGAGGAUAAUUUCCGGUAGUGCAUCCGUCUACUCUGACAAGGAAAAGACCAAAAGGAUCAGAAGAUAAAAUUGGUAUUUAACACAGUCACAAGGAGCUGACAGUGAUCACUGAAGCCUUCCAGUUUCAGUUCAUUUCCAAGAAUUUCUGGUGCUUCAAACAGUUUAUGCAGUGAAAAGGGGUACAAAAAGAAAAUCUCCUACCCUUAAUGCUGUGAUUGGAAAGUCUACUGUGUUAAAGAUGUGACCCUGGGCCUACUGAAGACUGCAAAAUUCCAUCUGAAUUUAAAACCAGAUCAGAAAAAGAUUCUGCCAUGCUUUGGAAGUAAAAGUGGGAGAGGCUAGAGAUAGGAAGAAAAGGUAUAAGGAACUUCCCUGACAACCCACCUUCCCAGCUGUCCCUGGCUGAUUGAUUAUUGCUCUAAGCUUCUCUGAGAAGGGUGUACAGUGACAGCAGAAGAACUGAUGUCUGCUUCUCCGCCCCGACUAUCACAAACACAGCUUUUGAAAUGUUCAUUCGGUGCUCCUACAGUCUCCAUAACAGAUUGUUUCUGUAAUGGCCAUUCUUGGAUGAAGACAUGGGCUAGUGCACUUUGCAUAAAUGACCGUAAAAUAAACUGCAGCAUAGUCUUGCAGAUUCUUUUCUCUGUUUCCAAUAGCAAAGCAGGAACUCACCCUCCUCCAUAACUAUCAUUGAGACUAGAUGCCUCCUUUUUGCCCCAGUUCUACCUUAGGGGCACAGCUAGACCUAAGAAUGAAAUGUUACCAUAAAGAGUUAAUGCUAUAAGGUCAUAAUUGGAAAAAAAAUAAUUGCUUUCUUGAUAAUGAGUUCCUCUGCAUUUUCCCAAAAGGUAACUGUGGACUAAGUACCUGCUACUGUCUGUUAUGAAUAAUGUGAAUAUUAUGAAAAUAUAUGAAAAUAUUGUGAAAAAACAUAUGAAUAUGGAAAUUUUAUAGGUAUUUUGUUCUGCAAGAGGUUUCAGUCAUACUAUUGUUUUCAUAGUGCAAUAUAAUUUCAGAAAUAAUAUCUAAAAAAGUGGCAUUCGUAGAGUGAGUUGUAAUAUACCUCCUCCACCCUCCCCCCAGUAAAAAUAAAAACCACAAAAACCAGAAAACCAACCAACCAAAACAAACAACAACUCCACAAGCUUUUGUAUUAAGGAAAGACACCAUUGUGAAAGUAAAUAUAUGACUGAUUUUAUCAUAGGUACCAAAUGUGCUUCACAGUAAUAAAGGUGUUACCAUGGAGCAGACUAUCACUGGGUGCUGCAUGUGCUGGUGUUUCAAAGAGAAGCUGUAACACCUUCUGAAGCUGCAGCUGUGAACACUGUUGGAACUUGUGUCUGUUGAAUAUUUAUACCGUAUGCAUUUGGCAGUUCACUUGCUUUCACAAGUUUUAUGAAACUGUAGUAAAGUUGUCCUCUUCAGAGACACACCCUGACAAAGCCAGUUUUGCCUGUUGAUCACAUCAUGCUGAUCAAUGCUGUGAUGACUAGUGCAUAUGCAAGUUCUUUACACGCCACUGCCAGUAUAACAGGGCAAUUGCUCCACAGUUGGCUGAAGCACAGAUACUAAUCUAAGACCUACUAACUCAUAGCAUGGACUAAACCUGGUUCUUGUGCUUUCAAUUCAUGCUGGAAUCAGAGUGUAAUAUGACCACCACUGAAAUGAAGUACACUAUCCAUAUUUGGCCAAAAGGCGUUCUUCGGCCUUAAAAAGUUGGAAACCCAAUUCAAAUAGCUGAAAGAUAUUUAAUGUGUUGAAUUCCAUCUUUUUCUAAGAACUUUUGGUACGACAAACUUGUAUUUUUAAUUUUUUGCUCUGAAAACAGAAAUGCUGGUAAACCAACAAAAU
ensembl:lncRNA